rnacentral:lncRNA from 1 species
GUGAUCAACAUACUAUUUUAAUUUGGCAGACUGAUGAAGUAUCUUUGGCAGCAUGAAAUUUUGAAAACUUCUUAAAAAACCCGAGAGACACCAAACCACAAUGCAACACAACAUACCAAACUGCAAACGGCAACACAGGUUUCGCAAGUUUGCCACAGAUGAUCCCCAGCAAAGUUUUAAAUUUAUAAAAACUAUAACCAGGAGCAGCUCAAUUCAGACUAAGGUUUAUCAGUUCGCUUAAAUAAGGUGUCCAAUACCGACGAUGUACCACUCAAGACAAGGUUUCUACAUAAACAGUAGCUCAACACCGCAGCUCCAGCUGGUAUAUAUUUUUUAUCAGGUAAAGAGGAGCCCAGCAUAAAGCAAUCGACACGCGAAAUC